rnacentral:rRNA from 1 species
GAUGAACGCUGGCGGCGUGCUUAACACAUGCAAGUCGAGCGAAAAGACGCUGCUCUCGCUCCACUCACGUUACCGACGGGCGGGUGAGUCACAGGUGGUCUACCUACCAAUUCGACUUGAGUAACUUCAAGAAGCCGGAGUUCCUGACAGGUACCAUAUUGAAUGGCAUGGUUCGAUAGUGUUUUCCGUUUAUGCUGACACUUCUAGCUGUCUGCGUGCCGCAUUAGCAAGUUGGUACGGUAACGGCUUCCCAAAGCCACGAUGGGUAGCCGACCUGAGAGGGUGAUCGGCCACACUGGGACUGGGACACGGUCCAGAGUCCUACGGGAGGCAGCAGUAGCGAAUCUAGCGCAAUGUGCGGAAGCCUGACGGAGCAGCGCCGCGUGAGUGAUGAAGGGCUGCGUAUCGUAUAACGCUGUUAGGAUUGAAGAACAAAUUUGUAAGUAACGAUGCACUUCGUGACGGUACCUAGUCAGAAAGCCCCGGCUAACUACGUG